CCGACCUCGCCAGCGACUUCGUCCAUGUCUGUCCCCCGCCCUCGUCACUGUCUUCGUCUGUCGCCUGCCCGUCGUCCCCGUUCUCGCCAAUGUCUUCGUCCGUCGCCUGUCAGCCGUCCCCGCCCUCGCCACCACCUUCAGCCCUGUGCGUUGCCCCCGCUAUCGUCACCACCACCUCUGUCCGCUGCCGCCACCACCUUCCGCUCUGCCUGCUGUCCCCGCCGUCGGCAGUGCCACAAUCGAUGUGCGCGAACCCUAACCCCCAUCUGGAUCUAGGAGCUACCGCCAGGUCAGUCUAAACGACGGUAACAAUCUCUACCCUAGAUCUCCAUGUAGCAAAAAAAUUCAGAUUUGUUGGUGGGUUAAAGAUGCGAAGGACUUGGUGGCGGAGAGCGGCGGAGACAACGCCGAUUUCAAGAGGUGGCCGCGUUGCAGCGCCGGAUGCGGAUAGCACCCUCCUCUGAAGUUCUAAGCAUAUCAUAUAUACUUUUUGUGACAUGAAAGCAUGCUCAUCCAAGCAUUUGGUCGUUCCACCUUCCACGUUGGCCCCAUUAACUAAGCUUGCUUAGCAUAGUGUUUGUUAUGUCAUGAUUGUGAUAGAAAAAUGCUCGCAACACUUCUAAUCAUUGUUGUUUUCUCUAUGGUAGGCAACUUGGUACAAAGAAGAAGAGGAAGUCCUGCCAGUUGUAUAUCUACUUUCAUUUAGAAAAGCAAGUAAAUUUGGACUCGAAAGUUCUAAGCCUAUACCUGUAUAUCUUGUUAUGACAUGAAAGCAUGUCGGUUUAAGCAUUUGGACGUUCCACAUUGUCCUGGUGAGCUAAGGUCCAAUGAUUAUUAUAUACCAGGAUUGUGAUAGGAGAAAAAUGCUUGCUGUACUUCUAAUCAUUGACUUAAAAUCUUCAAUUUGACUGCACAAAAUUUGAUCUAUUCCUAUGUUCUCUUCAUUCAUUGUAUUUUUUAUGUAUAUUUCGUUUGAAUCCCCUCAGCUUUGUUUACAACAUGCUAUGUUCUCAUGCUCCAAUUGGUGUGUACAGGGUCUUUAUGAGUUGUCAGAUUUGAGCUGUUUUCCGUUUUCAUGCAGAUCUACGCAUGGAUUGGAUGCAAUGCAGCAAAGUUUGGUUAUUUAUAUGCUGCUGCAACCACUCAGCCAGUAACUAGUAGUUGUUUGGUUAUUUCCUUAGUCAUUUUUUCCAUGUUGCCUCGCCAUGGUCCUUGCAGGGUACCAUAGUGAACAUCACCUCUGUACUAGGAGGAAUAUCUGAUAGCAUCGGGUCGAGCAUGGCCCGGUCUCCAGGGUGGACACGCUCGCCGGCAUCGCUAACAAGUACGACGUCGAGGUAUGUGCUGUCAAAGCUCCUGAAUUUGGUGAUAACAUAAGGGUUAAUCUGUAUGAUAUGGCUGUGUUGACGGGAGGAGAGGUUUCCUAUUAUCGACCAAUAACCAAUAACUAUAGAGUUUCUUAACACGGAUUAAAUUGCUAUGACUGAAAUUAACUUUUAUAUUUUCAAGGUUGUUAGCGAGGAUUCUUUUCUUAGACGAUGAUGUUGUGACACUAGAGAAAUGCAGAAUACGCCAUUUGAAAGACAAUGGCUACAAAAUCUUAGUGGUAUAUCAGCUGAUUUUUUUUUUCUCUUCAUGAGAUAACCCUCGGUGACCCCAACAUGGCCACAUUCAUCCCUGUCGCCUCUGGUCCCAUCUCUAGCUAGGCUGCUUGAGAUUGGAGGUUGAUUCUUCUCAAGCGCAAAGUAUACAUUCUCUCAAAAGAAAUCCCAAGCAAGAGUUUGUGGUGCUGUUGGGGGUGUUAGCAGCUAAGAAAGUACGAGAAGGAAUGAGAGCAUAAACACGAAUGAAGUAGCACUACAGUCAUUGAGUUUGCCUAAGUUAGCAACAUCAGUUGUUAGCUUGUUCUUCAAAAGGCAAUGUAACAAUAUACGGGUGGUAGGUCGCAAGAACAAGAGUGCUGUUAGUGAGGAUGAAGAAACUGAAUAUGAUCAAGGCAUUUUUUGGACCAAAUUACCCAAGUUUUGGUUUGCAUCGUCAUGUUCCUAUGGGUUAUGGCCACUGCUAGCUCCUGUUUACAAAGCAUUUAUAAGGUUUGAUCAACAAUUUCUCAAUACCUAAUAGGAAGCUGAAUUUGAUCUCACGACAACCAUCAAAGGAGCUGGGUACUAUCACGACAGGUUCCAUUGCAGCUGAGAGGGACAUUAUUGAUGGCAUGGGUAUUAAUAGCAUCGAAGGUGUGUAUAGAAGAUGUGAGAGAACUGUUUCUGUCAUGAGACAUAACUGUUUCUGUCAUGAGACAAAACUCAUUCUGUCAUUAUUAUCGAAAUUUUCAUCUAUGAUCAUCCAUACAAAUGGUCCCUCUCACAACUGAAAGCUUUACAACGUCAAAAGGUAACUAAAACUUAAGUAAAUUUCCAGAAUGCUGUUGGACUUGCUCCUACAGCACUCUAGUUGUCCAGCACAGUUCAUAUAGCUGGAAGUUACUGGUAUGAUCAGUAGCAGCCGGUAUUAGGGAUGUGUAUAUUUAAUUUUAUCAAACAUAACACAUCGCACUAAAUUCCCUGGCUUAUAUCUAGAUGUCUUUAUCAAGAUGAGAUCACCCAAAGGCUAAGAAAAAUGCAAAGACCUGAUGAAGAAAGGUAAAAUGGAAGGAAAGACAUAAUUACAUGGCAACAAUUUCUUAUGUUGGUUUUUUAUCAUGCUGUUUAACAAUUAGAUACACCCAGAUAUCCUAUCCAUGUUUAAACAUAAGCCCCAAGUAUUUCCUACUUCAAAACAUAUCGAGUUCUCCUGCAGCAACCUGUUAAACUAAGCUAUAUUUUUCUUCAGGGAACAGAUGAUACUGAUUCAUAUCUGAAUGACUCCCAAAAGGCUAAUGAGGGCAAUAAAGAUGCAACUAUGCUAUACUCCGUGUUAAAUAGAAAUUUGACGAAUAUGAAGGCCCCAUACUUUUUUAAUCCCCAAUUCCUCCUAGCCCCCAAUCCGAUUGGAAAUUGAUGGGCAAGCAACUGGAUCCCUCGAAUCACCACCAGUUUAAAGUGCACCAUACAGAGUUGCUUCAAUCCAAAUGCUAAAUCCGUGUGGAAGAUUAAACUAACCAUAAUUACUAUUUUGCAGGCUAAAUAUCCACUAGGUUCUACACAAUAUAAUCGAAUGACAAGCUAGCUAUGUAUAAUGUUAACUUAGUAUGCAAGUACUGCAUGUAGGCUUCAUGUAAUAUAAUUAAGUUCCGUAGUAUCUGAAUUGCUACAUUUACAAGUUAUGUAACUUAACUAAUAUCCCCAUUA